rnacentral:rRNA from 1 species
UACGUAGGGUGCGAGCGUUAAGCGGAAUUACUGGGCGUAAAGCGUGCGCAGGCGGUUAUGUAAGACAGGGGUGAAAUCCCCGGGCUUAACCUGGGAACUGCAUUUGUGACUGCAUAGCUAGAGUACGGUAGAGGGGGAUGGAAUUCCGCGUGUAGCAGUGAAAUGCGUAGAUAUGCGGAGGAACACCGAUGGCGAAGGCAAUCCCCUGGACCUGUACUGACGCUCAUGCACGAAAGCGUGGGGAGCAAACAGG